CUGUUCUUUAGGUCUGUCCAUUUCUAAAGAAAUUGCAUUGCUUUGGCGUACCACUAGAUGGUCCUGUAUACACUGUGGUUUUUCAGGUCACUCAUCAAGUGUAAGGUUGAUUUAUCCAGA